GACGGUAUAGUUCAGCGGUGGAUCACGUGCUUAGCAUGCAUGAGGUCCUGGGUCCAAUCCCCAGUACUCCUG
rnacentral:tRNA from 1 species